rnacentral:rRNA from 1 species
GAUAAACGCUGGCGGCGCACAUAAGACAUGCAAGUUGAACGGACUUAAUCGAAAUAUUUAUCUUUUGAAGCGGUUAGUGGCGGACUGGUGAGUAACGCGUAAGGAACCUGCCUAUUAGAGGGGAAUAACAGUGAGAAAUCAUUGCUAAUACCGCAUAUGCCAUAGAUAUCACAUGAUAACAGUGGGAAAGGAGCAAUCCGCUAAUAGAUGGCCUUGCGUCUGGUUAGAUAGUUGGUGGGGUAACGGCCUACCAAGUCGACGAUCAGUAGCCGGACUGAGAGGUUGAACGGCCACAUUGGGACUGAGAUACGGCCCAGACUCCUACGGGAGGCAGCAGUCGGGAAUAUUGCGCAAUGGAGGAAACUCGGACGCAGUGACGCCGCGUAUAGGAAGAAGGUUUUCGGAUUGUAAACUAUUGUCGUUAGGGAAGAGAAAGGACAGUACCUAAGGAGGAAGCUCCGGCUAACUACGUG